rnacentral:lncRNA from 1 species
GUAAAGGUCUGUAGAUGUGUAAAGGUCUGCGUUAUCAUUGAAGGUGCGGUAUCAUAGAAGGGACCCAGAAGCUGGACUUGACAUUCCCUGUGGGUCCCUUCCAACUUGGGAUACUCCAUGAUUCUGUGAAGGUGCUGGCUACUUAUUUUCUGCUAUCUUAGAUAUUUUAAAAACUUUUGGACUGGCAACCUAGAAGCUGAAGAAAAAUUUCUCCUCUACUGAAAUAACAGAGUCAGAAGGAAUCACUUUCAGUGGGAUAUUUGUCCUCUUCAUUAUCAGAAAUGCCCUUCAGAAGAGGUUCUUCCUUAGAUUUUGAAGAUCAGAUCUGAUUCAAUAAGGUAGGGUAAGAGG